rnacentral:lncRNA from 1 species
CCCAAGAAUCAGAUCCUUCCUCCUCUUCCUUCUGUAUCUGAGGGAGGAAGAGGAGGAAGAACAGAAAGCCGUAUUUUUCGGAAGUCAUAUCAAUUGGUGCUUCAAACCCUAGUCAUCAUGAAGUCUUUGCAAGUAUUAGCCUUGCAUCCGCGAAUAUGUUGUUGUUUACGAUUCCAAACCUGUCACACUAAAGAAGAGGAUCUAACAAGCCUCCAAUACUUCUGCCGAAGAGUAUUCACCACAAAAAUUGAUAUGAAGAUGAAUGACUUUGGAGAUUCAUCAGACUAAAGAAAUCAGACCCCCUACAAAUGGUCGAUGGCAUAGCUGUCCAGAGAGGCUGUGCACCAAUAUGAAAGCCUUCUGGAUACUGCUGGAUUAACCUUCUGCAUAGAAUUAGUGUAGGAUUUAGUCUUAAUUAUUUUCUAAACUUGUAAGUUUACUAGCAUUACUAAGUAUUCCUCGUUAUACCCACUUAUGCUAUUUCAAUCAUCGAAAUUUAAUAAUUCUACAUGUUCUAGUUGUGUACUCCUUUCUUAUUUCUAACAUUCAACCGUCUGAUUGGUCAGAGUGUUGAUUUUGUUUUCUGGUAGCGUUAAGUUAUAAUUAAUUGAUUAGUGUUUAGUUUGGUCAAUGACUUACAUAUAAGUUGACACGGUGGCCUCCCAGUUAGUUUGAACUUAGAAGAUGUGUACUAGCUUUAAGGUCGGUGGCUCCCAGUAAGUGUGUUGAUCCCUGUAGAUAGGAUGUCGAAGUUUAACUCAGUUGUCAAUGAAGGUAAAAGAAAAGUAAAGAAAAAAAGUAAAGGCAGAAAGACAAAAAAUCUAUUAGUUUAGUGAAUUAACGGGUUUCCCCAAUAAUUACUGCACGUUUCUAGCUAUACUUAU